UACAGAGGGUGCGAGCGUUGUUCGGAAUUACUGGGCGUAAAGCGCGCGUAGGUGGUGUGUUAAGUCUGCCGGUCAAAUGCCGAGCUCAACCUCGUUGCACGCCGGGGAUACUGGCACGCUAGAGACAAGUAGAGGCAAGCGGAAUUCCGGGUGUAGCGGUGGAAUGCGUAGAGAUCCGGAAGAACACCGGAGGCGAAAGCGGCCACCUGGACUGUACCUGACGCUCAAACGCGAAAGCUAGGGGAGCGAACGGG
rnacentral:rRNA from 1 species